CCGCAUCCUCCUCGGACUUGUCUCCCCCGAGUGUCGUGUCGCACACCUGCGCCUCCUCCUCGUCGGACUCGGCUCCCCCCUAGAGCCGUGUCGCACGCCUCAGGUACUUCUGUUCUCCGAGGUUCCUUUGGUUUGGUUCUGCUCAAGGUUUACGAGGGUUGCCUAUCUCUUUCUCUGUGCUCCGUGAUGUCUAGAAGGUCAUGUCUAGUAGGUCCACGAACGAUCCAAGCAAACUGGUCAUGGGGUAGCUGAAAGCACUCUGCGUGGUUUGGAUAUAGCUACCAUGGGUUCAGUAGGGGUGGGUUUGGAUAUGGAUUGUAUUGGCAGUCAGGCAGAGGCGACUAGCUCAUGGAUCUGCUCAUCGGCUGAUCAGAUAGGCAGCGUGAAGGUUUGUCGCGGCUGGUAUGGUAGAUAGAUAGUGAUGACCGGGUAAUUGUUUUCAAGACUGCAAGCCAUUGGCUUGAGCUUGAGGGUGUCCGGUUAAACAAAUGAGGGUGUUCGAUAGCCCCUUGAGAUCCGUGCUUUGCAAGAAUGUUUAGUUUGAUCUAUCUAGUUCCUCUCAGAUAAACCAUACAUGCGUAUUUGUAGCCAUGAGCAUCAGGCACCACUUGUUUAUCCGCGAGAGCAUGAGCAUGUCAUGUAGUAGUAGUCGUUGCAGUUUUUUCAGUGCGUUCUAUUGUGUCGUGUGCCUGUGUGGAGCCAUUUCAGAAGAAAGCAAGGGGAUCCAAAUGCAAGUUUGAGUUAGUUAAUUCCUG
rnacentral:lncRNA from 7 species